AUCAAAUCUCAGGAAGUAGUUUGAAGAGGAGAAGGGAAGUAAUUUCUACAAAGUAACUAGAAUAAAAUGAUCUACCUGAAGGUGGAGAGGGAGUAAGAUCACUAGAAAGCAGAAAGCUGCCAGACAACCACAGGACCCAAGAGACCUCUACAUGCUGUAACAUGGGCCUGGAUGGUGAGGCACAACUGCUUCCAACUGCCUUACUGAAUAUUGGGGCCUUCAGUGGUACCUGACAUUACAGCUUUUCUGAGAUAUAUAUUUUAGUUGGCACACCUUUGUGAUGUCUUAUAUACAUGAAUAAAAAUGUAUUCAACCCUGGACAUGAGGCUCCAGUUCGACAAUGCAUGCUUCCAGUUCGACAAUGCAUGCUUCCAGCAGGAUGCACAGACAACUAUGGUUUGCAUGCCCUACUGAAGGACCCUACCGUGCGGAAUAAGUGGUUGUAGUUCGUUGGUCCCCAAUGGUGAGACGAUCCAGUAUCUUUGAUGAGGGGCCAGGAGCUGAUCUACGCUGCUAUGCCCAUAAAUGUGGCUCUGGCAAAGACCUCACCUCUUGCCUGCUCACCAACGGUUGUCGAUGGGGAGAACAAAAUUAGAUACCUUUAUGGAGACAGCACUUGGGAGACUUCAAAAAUGAUAUGAUGGCGUCCAGACUGACAAGACAGGCUUGAUGCUGAUGUCUCUGAAUGGUUCAAGACCUUGUACUCAGCAAUAUAAUUAUACAGGACACAUCUA